rnacentral:rRNA from 1 species
GACGAACGCUGGCGGCGUGCUUAACACAUGCAAGUCGAACGGAAAGGCCCUGCUUUUGUGGGGUGCUCGAGUGGCGAACGGGUGAGUAACACGUGAGUAACCUGCCCUUGACUUUGGGAUAACUUCAGGAAACUGGGGCUAAUACCGGAUAGGAGCUCCUGCUGCAUGGUGGGGGUUGGAAAGUUUCGGCGGUUGGGGAUGGACUCGCGGCUUAUCAGCUUGUUGGUGGGGUAGUGGCUUACCAAGGCUUUGACGGGUAGCCGGCCUGAGAGGGUGACCGGCGACAUUGGGACUGAGGGACGGCCCAGACUCCUACGGGGGGCAGCAGUGGGGAAUAUGGCACAAUGGGAGGAAGCGUGAGGCAGCAACGCCGCGUGCGGGAUGACGGCCUUCGGGGUGUAAACCGCUUUCGCCUGUGACGAAGCGUGAGUGACGGUAAUGGGUAAAGAAGCACCGGCUAACUACGUG